rnacentral:rRNA from 1 species
AGUGAACGCUGGCGGCAGGCCUAACACAUGCAAGUCGAACGGAAGCACAGUGCUUGCUUGUUGUUUCGGGGGCGGAGUGGCGGGUGGGUGCGGAGAAUCUCCGAAGCUACUGUUUAGAAGGGCAUAACGCAGGGGCUCAUACCCCAUAACCGCAGAGGACGAACGGGGGAGAGCAGCGGACCUUCGGACCUCACGCGAGUGUAUGAGCGUAGGUCGAAUUAGCUGGUUGGCGGGGUACAGGCCCACCAAGGCGACGCUCCGUAGCUGGUCUGAGAGGAUGAUCAGCCACACUGGAACUGAGACACGGUCCAGACUCCUACGGGAGGCAGCAGUGGGGAAUAUUGGACAAUGGGCGCAAGCCUGAUCCAGCCAUACCGCGUGUGUGAAGAAGGCCUUCGGAUUGUAAAGCCCUUUUGGUGGGGAAGAAAAGCAGUAGGUUAAUACCCCGCUGUUCUGACGUUACCCAAAGAAUAAGCACCGGCUAACUUCGUG